rnacentral:rRNA from 1 species
UACGAAGGGGGCAAGCGUUGUUCGGAAUUACUGGGCGUAAAGGGCGCGUAGGCGGCUUAUCAAGUCAGGCGUGAAAUUCCCGGGCUCAACCUGGGGGCUGCGCUUGAUACUGAUGAGCUUGAAUGCGGGAGAGGAUAGUGGAAUUCCCAGUGUAGAGGUGAAAUUCGUAGAUAUUGGGAAGAACACCGGUGGCGAAGGCGGCUAUCUGGCCCGUAAUUGACGCUGAGGCGCGAAAGCGCGGGGAGCAAACAGG